rnacentral:rRNA from 1 species
UGGGGAAUUUUCCGCAAUGGGCGCAAGCCUGACGGAGCAAUACCGCGUGAGGGAGGAAGGCUUUUGGGUCGUAAACCUCUUUUGUCAGGGAAGAAGUUCUGACGGUACCUGACGAAUCAGCAUCGGCUAACUCCGUGCCAGCAGCCGCGGUAAUACGGAGGAUGCAAGCGUUAUCCGGAAUUAUUGGGCGUAAAGGGUCCGCAGGUGGCCUAUCAAGUCUGCUGUUAAAGCGUGGAGCUUAACUCCAUACAGGCAGUGGAAACUGGGAGGCUAGAGUUCGGUAGGGGUCACGGGAAUUCCCAGUGUAGCGGUGAAAUGCGUAGAUAUUGGGAAGAACACCGGCGGCGAAAGCGCGUGACUGGGCUGAGACUGACACUGAGGGACGAAAGCUAGGGGAGCG